AAAAAAGGCAGUGAGUCACCAAUGGCCAGCCAGCAUCCAUGGGGAGAAUUAGAUUCCACCUUCUGAUGGGUGGAGUGACAAAGAAACUGAGAACCUGUUUUAAAGCCACGUUUGGUACUACUAUAAAACUCUCCCACUGGAGUUCUUUCCUGAAGCCACAAUUCUAACCCAAGAGAUGUGCAUUCUUCUCCUCUGCCCAUGCCCAUCUGUAAGCUUCCUGGACAGAUUCAACAGAGGGCUCCAUAGAUGGGCCUUUCUUGGAAUUAACCGUGGUUCUUGAAUCCAAAGCCACAAAACAGGAUGGAUCCUACCUUAGGGAUACAAGCUUCUCCCUUUCUUGUCCCAGGCUAAGCCCACCACCCCAGGAAUCCCCCGUGGUUUUAGUUCCUACUGCUCCAGGAACUUCCAAUCCUAUCAAGUUGGGUUCAUGGGCCCCACUGCUAGAGCAGCCAUGACUGAGCCUGAAGCACAAGCUCCUGGUCCCCACUUGCUGAGCCGCCCCUGCACCCAGGCAGAUCUUCCUAAGGCCCCAAGCCUCACUGCUCCCAUGGUCCAAGGAGACUCUGAAGCCAGAAGAGCCAUCUCCUGUAAGCUCUUCUCUCUUCCCCACUAGAUGACCUGGAAGGCUGGUUGAGCCACGUCUGACCCUCUUAGACCAGCUCUACAAUAUGCGGUCCCUCCCUCUAGAGCCUUCCUACUCUAGCCAGUGAUUCCCCCGCAAGAACCUCUGUAUCCUUUCUUCUCUGUAUCCUCAUUUCUCCCCACAACCAGGCAGAUGGACUAAGAAACUCCUGUAACUCAGAGUGGUGUCCGAGGGAAAAACUCCUCGGAUUUUAAAUAGUCUUAGACUAGCUAGAACUCCGCACCACUCUCUCCCCAAAUAUUUCAGGCAUUGUGGGGCCAGAACCCUAGGGGUGGGUUUUUAAGGCAGCAGACUGGGGAAGGAGAGAGGAUGAAUGAGCAGGUCUUGCGGAGCAAUGAAAGAAUGGGUAGCUGGCUGAAAUAAGGAGGGGAAAUCGAUGGGAAAGUCAGGGGACACGGGGCUGAGGGGAAGAGGAGUAAGGAAUGCUUUACAGAGAAGCUGAAAUGGGAUUUGCAGCCCGAAGGAUGAGAAGGAACUAUUAAUAUUACAUCAGCGUAACUGCCCUUCAUAAUCACUGUUUGUUUGUGAUCCUCCAAGUCUGCUUUGAACUACGCAAACAGUCUUUGCUGUAGCUCAUUUUAAGGCCUGUCCAACCCCAGAGAGGUUAAUUAUGAAAUCCAUAUUAGCAAUACAACUGGGGAUUCAAACUUGUAAAUUCAUUGGCCAUAGAAAAUCUAUCAUGUUCAAAAACAAAAAGCAUUUUCUUUUCUCCGAGAAGUUGACAUCAGGAAACAACUCUUCCUUUAAUGUUCUUGAAAAAGACCCAUUCCCCCCACACUAUACCUUCUUUAUAAUUCCGUUAUAAAAGAAGUUUCACCCAUAGGUCUCUGAUUUUUUUUAAUAAAACUUCAGAGUAUUAUUUUUGGAUGGUUAUAUUUUGGAUAAACUCCUUCAUCCUGGAGCCUGGUGAAGCUUUUUGCUUUAAACCUCGAAAUCUUUUUUUUUUUUUUUUUUUCCCCAGUUUCAAGAGUUUAAGCCUUCAUGGUUUGGAUUUCACUCCAAGUUCAAACUGCUUGGAGGUCCAGUGGGAUCACAACUUGGCAGAAUACAUUCUGGUUCUUAAAAUUAAGCAACUGUUACCAACAUCUGAGCUUCCACACUGAGCUAUUGAAAGGGCAUUUUCAUAUCACAAGUGGAGGCUUCCUGCUGGGCCAUGGGUGGAGCAGAGCUGGAAUAAGGGGAGGCAGACCCAGCUGAAACCCUUCUCAGCCCCACACAGCCCUCCCCCACCUCCCAGAUUUGCUGGGCCUGUCAUUUGAGGCUAAGUCAUAUAGACAAAUUCAAAGUUCACUCUGGGACAUGAGCAAGGGAAGACAACAAAACACACAUUCUUCUCUCUGAAAUCUUUUCCCAGGCUCUGGGAUAUUGCCUGGCACUCUGUAGGCACCCAAUAACGUUUGUUAAAUGCUUGAAAGAAACAAACUAUGGGGUAGGGGGAGAUAAAAGAGAGAGAAAGAAGGAGGGAAGAAGAAAAAAGAAAAAAAU
rnacentral:lncRNA from 1 species